rnacentral:tRNA from 1 species
CCGUUAGCUCAGUUGGUAGAGCGCUCCACCUGUAGUGGAAAGGUCCCGGGUUCGAUACCAGGACCACAUGGA